GAUGAACGUUGGCGGUGUGCCUAAUACAUGCAAGUCGAACGGUGGUUAUUUUGUAGUAAUACGAAGUGAUCAUAGUGGCGAACGGGUGAGUAACGCGUUGGUGAUCUGCCUCGAAGUGUGGAAUAACGUUCCGAAAGGAACGCUAAUACCGCAUGUGCUUUCGAUUUUUUAGAAAGUUGAGAGUAAAGGAUUUAUUCGCUUCGAGAGGAGCCUGCGUCCCAUCAGCUAGUUGGUAGGGUAAUAGCCUACCAAGGCUUUGACGGGUAGGGGACCUGAGAGGGUGGCCCCCCACAAUGGAACUGAAACACGGUCCAUACACCUACGGGUGGCAGCAGUAGGGAAUAUUAGUUAAUCUGCGAAAGCGGGAACCAGCAACGCCGCGUGCACGAUGAAGGCCUUCGGGUUGUAAAGUAGCUUUUUGUAGAGGAUGAGGAAGGACGAGUACUCUUAGAAUAAAGCUUACGGCUAACUACGUG
rnacentral:rRNA from 1 species